UCAUACGUGCUGUAUAACAGAACCAUUGGACAGAAUGUUUGCAAGCAAGUUGCUAACCAACAUUCUAUAGAACAGAGUGUAUUCAGUGAUGACUCACAGAUAAAUUACUUCACCCUCACGGACCUCAAACUGGGUGUGCCAUUUGCUGUAGAUUGACUCAACGCUUAACCCUUCCAGUCAGACACCAGUCGCCAAGUUAAUCGAUUUCAUUGCCAGACUGAGAAUUCUCCAAGCCUUCUGAAUUUAAUUUAAACUGAUUGCAUACUGAAUGAGUUUGAAGGACUGUAAGGCAAAAGUGCGUCUGCUCCAGAACUGAUCUACCAAAUGUUCAUUGGUCUGUGCUGGUGCGAAGAGCAUUCUGAGUCUAGCGGCCCGGCCCCGGAGGACGUGGUGAUCUACUGGGCGCACACGGGUAUAAACAAGAGUUGCCGUGCAGCAACCAGGGUCGAGCAGAUAUCUGAAUAGCUGAAGUCCAUCUCUGUCUCCCAAGAGUUAAAUCGACAAACAAAAAAUGGAAUUGAGUCCCACUGAAAGAAUUGAAGAUCUCUGCUGAAACCAGUCACUGUGGACAGGGGGAUUCCACCUCCUCACUGGCCAUUCUGAGACACGGGUCCAAACUCAGAGCUAGGGUUCAAGGCAGCUCAGCAAACCACAUGGGCCAAUGAUGGAACAAGGCAAGCACUGGUUCUGUUACUGGAAGAACGGGGAAAGGAUGUUGGGGAACUGAAAUCAAGAAAUGUCCAUGAUCACAUACAGAAACUCUACUCUUUUACAUCCUCUCCAACACCAAUUUCGUUACUGAUGUCACAAAUACCAUCUUUUUAUAUUUUGUAUCCAUUAACAUGGGGGUAUAGUUUGUAUUUUGGGCUUUUAUCCUUUGAAUCCUACACCAAAAUUAAAAGUGAUUUAUGCACCACCAUUCCAAUA